rnacentral:rRNA from 1 species
CAAAUGGAGAGUUUGAUCCUGGCUCAGGAUGAACGCUGGCGGCAUGCCUAAUACAUGCAAGUCGAACGGAACUUACUUGUUAAGUUCAGUGGCGAACGGG